AUUGAGUACUUGUAUCAGGCAACAGGUGUUGCGAAAACUGUAAACCAAUAGCAACUGAGCAUUGUUUCUGGAUGUUGGAUUCAGUAGAAAAUUAUAGUUUAAGGUAAGAGUUUUCUCAGAAAAUGCCAGCUUGUCUAUAGAGGACACAGCAUUGCACUAUUAAAGGCAUUCACAUCACCCAGUAUGAUGACGCAAACGCUCUAUGUGAUAGGAGAUGCACACUGAACUUCUGAAAAAAGUCAUCAGAUUUGGGGGUAUAGCUCAGUGGUAGAGCAUUUGACUGCAGAUCAAGAGGUCCCCAGUUCAAAUCUGGGUGCCCCCUCUUUAAAUAACUUCUU
ensembl:lncRNA